rnacentral:rRNA from 1 species
GACGAACGCUGGCGGCGUGCUUAACACAUGCAAGUCGAACGGUGAAGGGGUCUGCUUUUGUGGGCCCUGGAUGAGUGGCGAACGGGUGAGUAACACGUGAGUAACCUGCCCCCUUCUUCUGGAUAACCGCAUGAAAGUGUGGCUAAUACGGGAUAUUCUGGGUCUGUCGCAUGAUGGGUCUGGGAAAGAUUGCGCCUUUGGGUGUUUUUGGUGGGGGAUGGGCUCGCGGCCUAUCAGCUUGUUGGUGGGGUGAUGGCCUACCAAGGCGGUGACGGGUAGCCGGCCUGAGAGGGUGGACGGUCACACUGGGACUGAGACACGGCCCAGACUCCUACGGGAGGCAGCAGUGGGGAAUAUUGCACAAUGGGCGCAAGCCUGAUGCAGCGACGCCGCGUGAGGGAUGGAGGCCUUCGGGUUGUAAACCUCUUUCGCCAGUGAAGCAGGCCUGCUCCUUGUGGGUGGGUUGGCGGUAGCUGGAUAAGAAGCGCCGGCUAACUACGUG